rnacentral:lncRNA from 1 species
CAUCUGGGUUAAGAUGGCUGCAGUGGAGAGACAGGGCCCUUCCUCUCCUCACCAUUGAUUGAUAUAGAGUGCCUGGAAACAACAAAAAAACCAAGAUCAGAUGACCAAGGGGCUCCAUAGUAGGGCACAGCAUUAAAGUCUAGAAAGUUUAAAUGAAGCAAGCCCUUGAAAAUUUGACAAUCAUCUCUCAAGAGACUGUUUGAGCCGAAUUCAGGAUGGCACUGGUGGAAUAUAACUACUUGCAAAACUAAUUACAUCAAUACAAUGUUUUUAUAAUUGUUUUCUGACAUCUCGUUAUUCAUCCUUUUCUGACAUACCUCUCCUCCAAAAAAGGAAGGCACCUGUUAAAAGCAGCUAGGCAGAAAAGCUGGAAUUUGGAGGAUGUUGAUUGAAGUCUGUCCUCUGUAGAUACUAAAAGUAAAACUCUAUCCUUUUUAUCUUUAAAAAAAAAAAACUUUAUGAAAGAAAAAAAAAACAACCA